UUUUUAAUGUAUAAAAAUAAAAGACAUAUAUUGCAAAAUUCACAAUAUUUCUAUUUAAACUAUAGCAACAUAAAAAAACAAAAAAAAAUCCUAGGUUUAUUGGCAUUUGUACCAUCUGCCGUUGUUUUAUUAAACACAUGUACAUACAAUAAGAAAAAAAUAAAAAAAAAAUUUUAUAUAUAUACGAUAUAUGUAUAUACUCUAACACUCACGUAACAACUUCAUUGUAGAUAUAGUAAAUACAUAUAUAAUUAACGAUGAAGGCAUAUGUUUAUUCACAAAUACGUUCAUUUUGUGUUUCAUAAAACUUUGUAGAAUUAUGUACAACUUUUUUCUUGGCUUUUAUUAUUAUUUUUUUUUGGAUUAUAUAAUUUUUUUUGGCUUUUAUGAUUUUUUUUGGCUUUUAUGAUUUUUUUUGACUUAUAUGAUUUUUUUUGAUUUAUAUGAUUUUUUUUUUAUUUAUAUGAUUUUUUUUUUUCUUCAACACAUUAAAAAAACAUAUAUAAAUAUAUAUGUAUACAUAUGUAUAUACGUACAUAUGUACAUAAAUAUCAAAAACAAAUAUAUUCACAUACUAUGGUUCAUUAUGUGCCUAAAACAAAAUUUAGCAACACUAAAAGGGGGACAUGUGAUGAACCAAAAACUCCUAAGGAAAAAAAAAAAAAGGAUAAAAAUAAUUUUUUAAAUUUGGGUGUUACAAAUGAAUCAUUAAAAUGUCUUAUUUUAAAAUUUUAUUUUAAAACCGUUUUAAAACAUGUUUACGAAAAUUUUCAGAAAAAUAACCUUUUUUUCGAAGUGUUCAUUCAUAUAGACAUUAUAAAAUUAAUUGAUACAAUGAAUGAUGCUGGUUGUCAUAUAACCAAAAAUUUUAUUACAUUUACAUAUAUUUUUAACAAAGUAACUUAUACUUUGUUAAACGAAUUUUUAAAAAAUUUUAAGGCUAAGAGCGUUGAACAAGAUAUAAUAAAAUACAUACAUAUAAUACUAAAUAAUAAGUUUUUUACAAUUAUACUUAUUCCUAUUAACACUCCCAUAAAAACUGACUGUGUAUUUAAUUUAGCGAAAUCACAUAAGUUAGAAAAUAAUUUAUACAAUAUAAUCGAACUAAUUGAUGCCACACUAAUAUAUAAAGAAAAAAAAACUUUUAUAUAUAAAAGGUUUUAUGUAAGAAUAUGUGAAUGUUCUAAUAAAUAUAUUCAAGAACAAAAUAUUAUUGUAAGAACAAAUGAGCUUGGGAAUGUAAAUAAGUAAGCAAUUUGUAUAAACAAAAAAAAAAAAAAAAAAAAAAGCCAACCAAAUUAAUAACAGUAACAGCUGAGAAAACUGUAACAAAAGGCAACAUUAGCAGCAACAAACACUAUUCAUUACAUAUCCAUAUAUAUAUCUUAUAUUACAUAAAUACAAAAGGUAUUAAAAACAAAAAUAAAGAAAUAUUUCUACUUUUUUUUUUUUUUUUU
rnacentral:lncRNA from 1 species